UACGUAGGUCCCGAGCGUUGUCCGGAUUUAUUGGGCGUAAAGCGAGCGCAGGUGGUUUAUUAAGUCUGGUGUGAAAGGCAGUGGCUCAACCAUUGUAUGCAUUGGAAACUGGUAGACUUGAGUGCAGGAGAGGAGAGUGGAAUUCCAGGUGUAGCGGUGAAAUGCGUAGAUAUAUGGAGGAACACCGGUGGCGAAAGCGGCUCUCUGGCCUGUAACUGACACUGAGGCUCGAAAGCGUGGGGAGCAAACAGG
rnacentral:rRNA from 1 species